rnacentral:lncRNA from 1 species
ACUUUGGCAAGAAAUAAAUAAGCUCAUAUUUCAUAGAAGAGUAUUGAAAUUAAUUGAUUUUCCUUUUGCCUUAUCACAGCUCUUUUUAAGGACUUCUGAAAUAGAAUAUUUUCAAAUGAAAACUAUGCCCUGAAAGUACAUUUAAACUAAGGCAGCACCACCUCAUAUCUUAUUCUCCAAGGGAUAUGGAAAAACAAAUCUGCCUUAAGCCAUUCAGUGAGGAGCUUAACUCUGGACCAGCUAGAGAAUUCAAACAAAGAAGAAGAAAGAAGAUUCUGAACAUAGCAGCUUAAGAACCAAUGUGUAAGACUGGACUUGAUGGAGGCAGAGAAGACUACAAUGAAAGUACCGUGGAAGGACCCCAGAGCAAAACUGGUCGGGUUGAAAAUUGCCCACCACACUGAAGUUGUGCACUUCACAAAGUUAAUCUGUUGCUGACGAUCACCACUUGGGGACAGUUUAGUCUAUGAUGAGGGAAUGGAUCCCCUUGACAUCAGACCAACCAAAACGUCAUGACCUUCUGGAUGAAAUGUAAAGCUGACUGCCACUGAUCUACAAACUUUAACAAUUAUUCUUGAGGAAGAGGGAAUGGAUAAAAGUAAGCCAAUUACAUAGUUCACCAUAAUUCUGCUAAAAAACCUUCUUGUAAGGCACAUGCUUUAAUAUUACUCUUUCAAGAAUAAAAUAUUCUCUUUCAGUAACA